AGAGUUUGAUCCUGGCUCAGGACGAACGCUGGCGGCGUGCCUAAUGCAUGCAAGUCGAGCGGGCUACGAUCUUCGGAUUGUAGCUUAGCGGCGAACGGGUGAGUAACACGUAGGUAAUCUACCCUUCAGAGGAGGACAACCUCAGGAAACUGAGGCUAAACCUUCAUACGUUCACUGGUAGGGAUACUGGUGAAGAAAGAGUUACCUUAGUGGUAGCUGCUGAAGGGUGAGCCUGCGGCCCAUCAGGUAGUUGGUGAGGUAACGGCUCACCAAGCCGAAGACGGGUAACCGGUCUGAGAGGAUGUCCGGUCACACUGGGACUGAGACACGGCCCAGACUCCUACGGGAGGCAGCAGCAGGGAAUCUUGGGCAAUGGGCGAAAGCCUGACCCAGCGACGCCGCGUGGAGGAAGAAGUCCUUCGGGGCGUAAACUCCUGGACUGGGGGACGAGGAAGGACGGUACCCCAGUAGAAAGGGACGGCUAACUACGUGCCAGCAGCCGUGGUAAAACGUAGGUCCCGAGCGUUGUUCGGAUUCACUGGGUGUAAAGGGCGCGUAGGUGGUUGUCUGUGUCUCAUGUGAAAACUCAGGGCUCAACUCUGAGAUUGCGUGGGAAACUAGGCAGCUAGAGGACGGUAGAGGGGAGUGGAAUUCCCGGUGUAGCGGUAAAAUGCGUAGAUAUCGGGAGGAACACCGGUGGCGAAGGCGGCUCUCUGGGCCGAUCCUGACGCUGAGGCGCGAAAGCUAGGGGAGCGAACCGGAUUAGAUACCCGGGUAGUCCUAGCCGUAAACGAUGGGUGCUAGGUGUUGGGGGGGUAAAGACCCUUCAGUGCCGAAGCCAACGCGAUAAGCAUCCCACCUGGGGAGUACGGCCGCAAGGUUGAAACUUAAAUGAAUUGACGG
rnacentral:rRNA from 1 species